rnacentral:rRNA from 1 species
UAGGGAAUCUUCGGCAAUGGACGAAAGUCUGACCGAGCAACGCCGCGUGAGUGAAGAAGGUUUUCGGAUCGUAAAACUCUGUUGUUAGAGAAGAACAAGGACGUUAGUAACUGAACGUCCCCUGACGGUAUCUAACCAGAAAGCCACGGCUAACUACGUGCCAGCAGCCGCGGUAAUACGUAGGUGGCAAGCGUUGUCCGGAUUUAUUGGGCGUAAAGCGAGCGCAGGCGGUUUCUUAAGUCUGAUGUGAAAGCCCCCGGCUCAACCGGGGAGGGUCAUUGGAAACUGGGGAACUUGAGUGCAGAGGAGGAGAGUGGAAUUCCAUGUGUAGCGGUGAAAUGCGUAGAUAUAUGGAGGAACACCAGGGGCGAGGGCGGCUCUCUGGUCUGUAACUGACGCUGAGGCUCGAAAGCGUGGGGAGCAAACAGG